CUCCCUCUGUCCCCCCUUCUCCCUCUGCCCCUCUUCAAAGGCGCGGAAAGAUCGAGAACGUUCUGCGGCAAAGACCCUACAGCUCAGCUGCGCGGUAGGACCCAAAGAUUAUAGAGCGGAAUCUUUGGAAAGACUCUAUUUUGAACAAAUUGAUCUGUCUUCAUUGACACUGAGAUUGUUUUUAGGCUUUUUUAAAAAUCAUGCCAAGACGGUCAAGACAUAAAAGACAUUCAAGACGGUCAGUGGCGGACAAAAAGAAACAUCGAGAAGCAGUAAGGCACAUAACGGAACAAAAGAGGCAGCAAGAUAGAACACAACAUCUCCGAGAUAGUCCAGAGAGAGUGCGGGAGAGAAGCGCACAAGAGAUGCAGCAAGAAAGAAUUAAAAGUAUCAUAGUUAAGCGAAAGAGAGGGCGGGAGAAAAGCGCACAA